rnacentral:misc_RNA from 1 species
AUUACAGCUGCAUCGCUGUUACAGCAGCGCGAGCUGGUAUAUAUAGUGCAAGAGGCUUCAGCUGUGUGUCAGAGAGGCCGGAAUCCACUGCUGAACAAACAGCCUAGACCGACGACCCUUUCCUGACCUGAAGACCACCCCCCCCCUGGACGACCAUGCUGAACGCCGACGAGACGAAGGCCGUGGCGUUGGUGGUCAUGGCGGUCGUGACUCUGGUCAUGGCAUUCCUGCCUCUCUACGUCCGGAAGGUGCUGAGUCACCGCAUGGCCCAGACUUUCGCGCAGGUGGUGCUGUCGGGGUGCCUGUGCUUCGGCGCGGGCGUGCUGCUCUCCAUCGUGUUCCUGCACCUGCUGCCGGAGACGCGCGCCACGCUCGAGAACGCGAUGGACGCCGACCUGUUCCCGCACAGCCACUACCCCGUGGCCGAGGUGGUCCUGGUGGGCGGUUUCUUCCUGGUGUACCUCAUGGAGGAGCUCAUCCACACGUGGAUCCACCGCGCCCACCACAACCAGCACCACCGCCAUGGCGACGCAGAGGCUCCGGGCGCCGACGCCAAGGCCGCUGGCGACGGCAGGAAGCGUGAGCGGCUGUCCUCCGAGGGUCCGGCGGCGGCGCAGGAGGCCGUCGGGGGCCACGGGUCGGUGCGCGGCGUGGCGGUGCUCAUGGCCGUGGACGGGCGCGCGAACGAGGCGUUCGAGGGCGACGGGUGCGUGGGCGGCCAGGUGGACACGGCGGCCCGGAACAACGUGCACACCAUCCCCCACCACCACACGCCCGCCGUCGACAAGAACGUGUCGGUGAUGGGCGCCGUGGUGGUGGUGGUGGCGCUGUCCUUCCACAGCGUGAUGGAGGGCCUCGCGCUCGGCCUGGAGGAGGAGCCGCGGGACGUGUGGAUCCUGCUGGCGGCGCUCACGUCCCAUAAGAUCUUCAUCGCCUUCAGCAUGUCCAUGGAACUGCUGGAGGUGGGCGUGUCCCUGAAGCCCUUCGUGGCCUCCAUGGUCGUCUUCUCGCUGGCCUCCCCCAUCGGCGGCCUCGUCGGGGCCCUCGUCGUGGCCUAUGCGGGCGACCAGGAGAGCGCGAGCGCCAUGCUCGUGCCCACGUUCCUGCAGGCGGUGUCGGGGGGCACCAUCCUGUACGUGGCCUUCUGCGAGGUGCUGGAGCGCGAGCGAGCCAAGCCCAAGGGCGGCAUGGUGCGCCUCCUCGCUCUGCUGUUGGGCUUCUGCCUCAUGGCCGGCCUGGAGGCGGUCGGGGGCCACGAGCACGGCCACAAGAGCGAGCCCCCGACGGCCACCGCCGCCCCGUAGUCGCGCCCCGAGGCCGGCCAGCGCUGGCACAGGAGUUGCUGUGAUGCCCCUUUUGGGAAUCGGAAUGGCGUCGUUGUGGGGGCUUUCGGGGAAGCACUGGAGCGGCCGGGGAAAGCAGGGCUUCGCUUUCCAGGCGGAAGAUGAAGUCGGCGAGAAAAAGAGUUCUCCUUUUUUUUUUUUUAAUUAGUGGCAGUUUAAUGGCAGAGCGGAGUGGCAUGAGAAGCAUAACCUGAACCUUUUAAAAAGAACAUUAUUUUGCCAUUUUAGAAGGAGAUUAAACAAAUAAACAUACAGAAAGCAAAACAGAGCAAAUGCAAAAUAUCUAUAACUUUCCACUAUAUUUUUACUUAUAUGCAGCAUUCUAUAUAUAUAUAUAUUUUUAUAGCCAAGAAAAAAAUGUUUCUCUUUCCCAUGAAGAUUCUGAGCAAAGGACAAAAGAAUUAUGGAAAAUGAUACAGUGUCACGCGGGAUUUAUUUUUCGUAUUUUCAUGAGUCAAAAGGACAAACAAGUUAGUAUUUCGUCACAAGGGUAUGAUGAUGAUGAUGAUUAUAAUGAGAAUCAUAAUAAUAAUAAUAUUAUUAAUACUACUAUUAUUAAUAACAAUAAUGAUAAGAAGAGUGAUAUUAUUAUUAUUAUCAUCAUAAAUGAUGAUAAUAAUAAAAAUACUAAUGAUAAUGAUAAUGAUAAGAUAAUAAUAAUAAUAAUAAUAGCAAUAAUAAUAAUAAUAAUGAUGAUGAUAACAAUAAUAACAGUAAUAAUAAUAAUAACGAUGAUAAUGGUGACAAUAAUAACAAUAAUGAUGAUUAUUAUAAUGAUUAUAUCUUUAAUAAAAAUAAUAGUAAUAAUUACAAUGAAUAAAAGAAGAAUUGCAGAUUACACAACAUUGUCAUUGCCCUUGCUACUUGUGAUAAAACUAUAUAAACUAUUCUUUCAACAUUUGAUAAAACGAAAUGAGCCAAAUGAAGGUCACCUACUGUGUCAUAGUCUUGUCUCAUUAUCUUGCCCGUACUGAGAAACAGAUAAAUUUGAUCCUGUUUUCUAGUAUGAAGUCUAAAUAUAUCUAUUUUAUGAUAACAGCC